CCUACGGGAGGCUGCAGUGGGGAAUAUUGGACAAUGGGGGGAACCCUGAUCCAGCCAUGCCGCGUGUGUGAAGAAGGCCCUCGGGUUGUAAAGCACUUUCAGUGAGGAAGAACGCCUGGUGGUUAAUACCCAUCAGGAAAGACAUCACUCACAGAAGAAGCACCGGCUAACUCCGUGCCAGCAGCCGCGGUAAUACGGAGGGUGCGAGCGUUAAUCGGAAUUACUGGGCGUAAAGCGCGCGUAGGUGGCUUGAUAAGCCGGUUGUGAAAGCCCCGGGCUCAACCUGGGAACGGCAUCCGGAACUGUCAAGCUAGAGUGCAGGGGAGGAAGGUAGAAUUCCCGGUGUAGCGGUGAAAUGCGUAGAGAUCGGGAGGAAUACCAGUGGCGAAGGCGGCCUUCUGGACUGACACUGACACUGAGGUGCGAAAGCGUGGGUAGCAAACAGGAUUAGAUACCCCAGUAGUC
rnacentral:rRNA from 1 species